rnacentral:rRNA from 1 species
AACGAACGCUGGCGGCAUGCCUAACACAUGCAAGUCGAACGACACCUUCGGGUCUAGUGGCGCACGGGUGCGUAACGCGUGGGAACCUGCCCUUAGGUUCGGAAUAACUCCCCGACAGGGGUGCUAAUACCGGAUAAUGUCUUCGGACCCAAGAUUUUUCGCUUUUGGAUGGGCACGCGUUGGAUUAACUAGUUGGUAAGGUAAAAGCCUACCAAGGCGACGAUCCAUAGCGGGUCUGAGAGGACGAUCAGCCACACUGGGACGGAGACACGGCCCAGUCUCCUACGGGAGGCGGCAGUGGGGAAUAUUGGACCAUGGGCGAUAGCCUGAUCCAUCAGUGCCGCGUGAGUGAUGAUGGCCUUAGGGUUGUAAAGCUCUUUUACCCGGGUUGAUAGUGACAGUACCGGGAGAAUGCGCUCCGGCUCACUCCG